CGGCCGUAUCAUGUUGAAACACCGGCUAACGUACGAUCACAGAGGUUAAGCAAUGUCGAGCCUAGUCAGUACCUAGAUGGAUGACCGCUUGAGAAUAUCAGUUGCUGUAAG